rnacentral:miRNA from 4 species
GGCUUGUUUUCAGUUGCCUGCG